GCUCAGGACGAACGCUGGCGGCGUGCUUAACACAUGCAAGUCGAACGAUGAUGCCCAGCUUGCUGGGUGGAUUAGUGGCGAACGGGUGAGUAACACGUGAGUAACCUGCCCCUGACUCUGGGAUAAGCGUUGGAAACGACGUCUAAUACUGGAUAUGACUGCCGGCCGCAUGGUCUGGUGGUGGAAAGAUUUUUUGGUUGGGGAUGGACUCGCGGCCUAUCAGCUUGUUGGUGAGGUAAUGGCUCACCAAGGCGACGACGGGUAGCCGGCCUGAGAGGGUGACCGGCCACACUGGGACUGAGACACGGCCCAGACUCCUACGGGAGGCAGCAGUGGGGAAUAUUGCACAAUGGGCGAAAGCCUGAUGCAGCAACGCCGCGUGAGGGAUGACGGCCUUCGGGUUGUAAACCUCUUUUAGUAGGGAAGAAGGGAGCUUGCUCUUGACGGUACCUGCAGAAAAAGCACCGGCUAACUACGUGCCAGCAGCCGCGGUAAUACGUAGGGUGCAAGCGUUGUCCGGAAUUAUUGGGCGUAAAGAGCUCGUAGGCGGUUUGUCGCGUCUGCUGUGAAAUCCCGAGGCUCAACCUCGGGCUUGCAGUGGGUACGGGCAGACUAGAGUGCGGUAGGGGAGAUUGGAAUUCCUGGUGUAGCGGUGGAAUGCGCAGAUAUCAGGAGGAACACCGAUGGCGAAGGCAGAUCUCUGGGCCGUAACUGACGCUGAGGAGCGAAAGCAUGGGGAGCGAACAGGAUUAGAUACCCUGGUAGUCCAUGCCGUAAACGUUGGGCGCUAGAUGUAGGGACCUUUCCACGGUUUCUGUGUCGUAGCUAACGCAUUAAGCGCCCCGCCUGGGGAGUACGGCCGCAAGGCUAAAACUCAAAGGAAUUGACGGGGGCCCGCACAAGCGGCGGAGCAUGCGGAUUAAUUCGAUGCAACGCGAAGAACCUUACCAAGGCUUGACAUACACCGGAAACGGCCAGAGAUGGUCGCCCCCUUGUGGUCGGUGUACAGGUGGUGCAUGGUUGUCGUCAGCUCGUGUCGUGAGAUGUUGGGUUAAGUCCCGCAACGAGCGCAACCCUCGUUCUAUGUUGCCAGCGCGUUAUGGCGGGGACUCAUAGGAGACUGCCGGGGUCAACUCGGAGGAAGGUGGGGAUGACGUCAAAUCAUCAUGCCCCUUAUGUCUUGGGCUUCACGCAUGCUACAAUGGCCGGUACAAAGGGCUGCGAUACCGUAAGGUGGAGCGAAUCCCAAAAAGCCGGUCUCAGUUCGGAUUGAGGUCUGCAACUCGACCUCAUGAAGUCGGAGUCGCUAGUAAUCGCAGAUCAGCAACGCUGCGGUGAAUACGUUCCCGGGCCUUGUACACACCGCCCGUCAAGUCAUGAAA
rnacentral:rRNA from 1 species